rfam:Oceanibulbus sp. HI0023 HI0023_c103, whole genome shotgun sequence.
GUUUCGGGCGAGGGGCUUUGGGAGGUCUCUCUGGUAUGGAAACGACGCUGUCCAAAUCCGGUACUGGCGCGGCACCCCACCCGAGCCGGU